GAUGAACGCUGGCGGCGUGCUUAACACAUGCAAGUCGAACGAAGCACUUUUGAUUGAUUCUUCGGAUGAAAGAGAUUGUGACUGAGUGGCGGACGGGUGAGUAACGCGUGGGUAACCUGCCUCAUACAGGGGGAUAACAGUUAGAAAUGACUGCUAAUACCGCAUAAGCGCACGGUAUCGCAUGAUACAGUGUGAAAAAGCCGAGACGGUAUGAGAUGGACCCGCGUCUGAUUAGGUAGUUGGUAAGGUAACGGCUUACCAAGGCAACGAUCAGUAGCCGACCUGAGAGGGUGACCGGCCACAUUGGGACUGAGACACGGCCCAA
rnacentral:rRNA from 1 species